UGGGGAAUUUUGGACAAUGGGGGAAACCCUGAUCCAGCCAUCCCGCGUGUGCGAUGAAGGCCUUCGGGUUGUAAAGCACUUUUGGCAGGAAAGAAACGUCAUGGGUUAAUACCCCGUGAAACUGACGGUACCUGCAGAAUAAGCACCGGCUAACUACGUGCCAGCAGCCGCGGUAAUACGUAGGGUGCAAGCGUUAAUCGGCAUUACUGGGCGUAAAGCGUUCGCAGGCGGUUCGGAAAGAAAGAUGUGAAAUCCCAGAGCUCAACUUUGGAACUGCAUUUUUAACUACCGGGCUAGAGUGUGUCAGAGGGAGGUGGAAUUCCGCGUGUAGCAGUGAAAUGCGUAGAUAUGCGGAGGAACACCGAUGGCGAAGGCAGCCUCCUGGGAUAACACUGACGCUCAUGCACGAAAGCGUGGGGAGCAAACAGG
rnacentral:rRNA from 1 species